rnacentral:misc_RNA from 1 species
ACCAGGUUGAGGAAAAAAAAAAGCAGCCUAAUAGGCAAGGCAUUGGGGAAAAAAAAUUUUGAGGGACGUGAGAGUAAAAUGGAAGGAAAUGGUCAAAGAGACAGACAUCAUCUCGGAGUCUUGUGCAAGGAAAACGUCACCUUAGCGUGAAAGAACAGCGCAUUGGAUCGCUUGUCCAACAAAAGGUGCAAUUCCCGAUGUCACUUCACACAAUUAUCAUCCCCUCAACGAAACACGUUUUUACUCCAUUCUCCAUCUGGAAAGUGCCAAAUCACCAGCAGCUGGAUUCAAAAUG